CUUAUUUCCAAAGGAUGAGUUUAGAGAUAUUUUUUUAAAAAGAUCAAAAUACAAAGUCUCAUUGAGCCUGGUGUAAUAGAAAUUACUUCCAACUGAAAAUAAGUUUGUCAAUUGAAGGAGUGAAGAAACUUGGCCCUGUGUGUUGUUCUGCGCAGUAUGGAGGUCUGCUCCUGGAGUGAGAGUAAUGGAGGACCUGUCUUCAAACCCUUAGGAAAGUUUACUUGAUAACAAAGAGAAAGCUUUAAACAAUUUAUGAGCUAUGUUGGGUCCCUAGAAAAGUGAAGUGUUUUCAUUUAAGUUUAGUAAUGUUUAAAAUUAUUUGACUGGAAGUUGAGCCAGUGCCCACUCCAUCACCCUGGGAACUGUGAUUCUACCAGGAAAUGUUUUUGUCGGGUAAACUUUUCCUACUUGCUGCCAGGGAGGGAUCAGCUGUUGUUGCUUCUUGCCAGGGCUGUUAUCACGCCCUUCUCCCUGGUGACAGUGGAAAGCCAGUGGCCAGCUCCCAACCACCCUGGCUAGCACCCCUUUCGUGCCACCUUUCCCCCCUGAGGGAGGCCGCUGGGUACUGGAUGUCAUUGGCACCACCUUGGCUCUGCAGAUCCACCCAGCCCUUACUGCUGCUGGGUCCACUUAGGAAGAAUAUGAGGCUCUCUCUAGGCAAAGAUCUGGAGGUUCAGCCCACAGGACGGAUUCCUCCUGGAUCUCAGCGAAGCAGGGAAGUCAUUCAUCAAUUUCUAGAAGUACUGGGGAUCAAACUCAGGACCUUGUGCUUCUGAAGCAGGCACGUUGCCACCGAGCUACAUCCCCAGCCCCAGAUCAUUAUUUUUCACAUCUGUGUUUGCCCAAACUUUAAACUCUGACUCACUUGAUCUUAUUAUUUGAUGUAAACUACAAUGCAUUUAAUCUUUUAGCAAAAUAU
rnacentral:lncRNA from 1 species